UGGGGAAUAUUGGACAAUGGGCGGAAGCCUGAUCCAGCAACGCCGCGUGAGGGAUGACGGCCUUCGGGUUGUAAACCUCUUUCAGUACCGACGAAGCGAAAGUGACGGUAGGUACAGAAGAAGGACCGGCCAACUACGUGCCAGCAGCCGCGGUAAUACGUAGGGUCCGAGCGUUGUCCGGAAUUAUUGGGCGUAAAGGGCUCGUAGGCGGUUUGUCGCGUCGGGAGUGAAAACAGCGGGCUUAACUCGUUGCUUGCUUUCGAUACGGGGCAGACUAGAGGUAUGCAGGGGGAGAAUGGAAUUCCUGGUGUAGCGGUGAAAUGCGCAGAUAUCAGGAGGAACACCGGUGGCGAAGGCGGUUCUCUGGGCAUUACCUGACGCUGAGGAGCGAAAGUGUGGGGAGCGAACAGGAUUAGAUACCCUGGUAGUCCACACCGUAAAACGUUGGGGCGGCUAGGUGUGGGGUCCUUUCCACGGAUUCCGUGCCGUAGCU
rnacentral:rRNA from 1 species